rnacentral:rRNA from 1 species
ACGAACGCUGGCGGCGUGGAUAAGACAUGCAAGUCGAACGAGAGAAUUGCUAGCUUGCUAAUAAUUCUCUAGUGGCGCACGGGUGAGUAACACGUGAGUAACCUGCCCCCGAGAGCGGGAUAGCCCUGGGAAACUGGGAUUAAUACCGCAUAGUAUCGAAAGAUUAAAGCAGCAAUGCGCUUGGGGAUGGGCUCGCGGCCUAUUAGUUAGUUGGUGAGGUAACGGCUCACCAAGGCGAUGACGGGUAGCCGGUCUGAGAGGAUGUCCGGCCACACUGGAACUGAGACACGGUCCAGACACCUACGGGUGGCAGCAGUCGAGAAUCAUUCACAAUGGGGGAAACCCUGAUGGUGCGACGCCGCGUGGGGGAAUGAAGGUCUUCGGAUUGUAAACCCCUGUCAUGUGGGAGCAAAUUAAAAAGAUAGCACAACAAGAGGAAGAGCCGGAUAACUCUGUGCCAGCGGCGGCGGUAAGACAGAGGUCUCAAGCGUUGUUCGGAAUCACUGGGCGUAAAGCGUGCGUAGGCUGUUUCGUAAGUCGUGUGUGAAAGGCGCGGGCUCAACCCGCGGACGGCACAUGAUACUGCGAGACUAGAGUAAUGGAGGGGGAACCGGAAUUCUCGGUGUAGCAGUGAAAUGCGUAGAUAUCGAGAGGAACACUCGUGGCGAAGGCGGGUUCCUGGACAUUAACUGACGCUGAGGCACGAAGGCCAGGGGAGCGAAAGGGAUUAGAUACCCCUGUAGUCCUGGCAGUAAACGGUGCACGCUUGGUGUGCGGGGAAUCGACCCCCUGCGUGCCGGAGCUAACGCGUUAAGCGUGCCGCCUGGGGAGUACGGUCGCAAGAUUAAAACUCAAAGAAAUUGACGGGGACCCGCACAAGCGGUGGAGUAUGUGGCUUAAUUCGAUGCAACGCGAAGAACCUUACCUGGGCUUGACAUGUAAUGAACAACAUGUGAAAGCAUGCGACUCUUCGGAGGCGUUACACAGGUGCUGCAUGGCCGUCGUCAGCUCGUGUCGUGAGAUGUUUGGUUAAGUCCAGCAACGAGCGCAACCCCUGUUGCCAGUUACCAGCACGUGAAGGUGGGGACUCUGGCGAGACUGCCCAGAUCAACUGGGAGGAAGGUGGGGACGACGUCAGGUCAGUAUGGCCCUUAUGCCCAGGGCUGCACACGUACUACAAUGCCCAGUACAGAGGGGGCCGAAGCCGCGAGGCGGAGGAAAUCCUAAAAACUGGGCCCAGUUCGGACUGUAGGCUGCAACCCGCCUACACGAAGCCGGAAUCGCUAGUAAUGGCGCAUCAGCUACGGCGCCGUGAAUACGUUCCCGGGUCUUGUACACACCGCCCGUCACAUCAUGGAAGCCGGUCGCACCCGAAGUAUCUGAAGCCAACCGCAAGGAGGCAGGGUCCUAAGGUGAGACUGGUAACUGGGAUG